AUUGAACGCUGGCGGCAGGCCUAACACAUGCAAGUCGAGCGGAUGAAGGGAGCUUGCUCCUGGAUUCAGCGGCGGACGGGUGAGUAAUGCCUAGGAAUCUGCCUUGUAGUGGGGGAUAACGUCCGGAAACGGGCGCUAAUACCGCAUACGUCCUGAUGGAGAAAGUAGGGGAUCUUCGGACCUCACGCUAUCAGAUGAGCCUAGGUCGGAUUAGCUAGUUGGUGGGGUAAAGGCCUACCAAGGCGACGAUCCGUAACUGGUCUGAGAGGAUGAUCAGUCACACUGGAACUGAGACACGGUCCAGACUCCUACGGGAGGCAGCAGUGGGGAAUAUUGGACAAUGGGCGAAAGCCUGAUCCAGCCAUGCCGCGUGUGUGAAGAAGGUCUUCGGAUUGUAAAGCACUUUAAGUUGGGAGGAAGGGCAGUAAGUUAAUACCUUGCUGUUUUGACGUUACCAACAGAAUAAGCACCGGCUAACUUCGUG
rnacentral:rRNA from 1 species